GCCCAUGUGGCUCAGUGGCAGAGCACUCCCUUGGUAAGGGAGAGGUCACCAGUUCGAUCCUGGUCGCGGGCUCCA
rnacentral:tRNA from 1 species